UAUUUUCUAGAAGUGAGAUAGAUUUACAAGAAUAGUUAGUUGGAAAUAUCCCAUCCGUUACGAAAACGGACGUUCAAAAAUCAAAUCAACUCGAAAAUUAUUGAUGGAGAGUCUACGUCAAAAUUCCAAGCAUGCAUCUCAUUCGUUUAAUUGACCAUUGUGGAUGCAUUCAAUACAUUUGAAUAUUAAUAUAUGUGUCCAAAUAAUGAAGGGAAAAAAAGUUGAAGAGAACUUUCGGUUCCUUUGAAGUUGAUAAAGACUCGGUUCUAGCAUUGAGAGGAGGGCAGUGGACACACCAAAGUGGAUCUAACAUGGAAAUGGAAUCCAACUUUAGCGAAGGUCUAUAUCAGUAUUAAUUCCACCAAUAUAUUUACGUAUGAGAUGGAUACUACGUUGUAGAGUUCUAUAGUCUUACAAAGUCAUUGUGUAAAUGCUCUCCAAGUUUCAUUGCAUUAAUAAUUUGUGAAGAUUCUUAACUACAAAUGCAUUUUACUAUUUGUUUAUUUAUUUAGGAUUUUAUAUGACAUGCUUCAACUUCAAAUUGAUUGCUUAAAAAUGAGAAAUUUGUUGUCAAAAUAGAUGUAGGAUCAUUGCAUGGAUCACAUGAUUAAUUGAGUUAGUUGGUCGAUUUAGUACAUUAAUAAGUUCGGUACCAAAAUACCCAUAAAUUAGAUAGUUUGAAAUCGUGUGGUCAAUAUUGGGUCAUCUAUAUCUUAAAAACAUUUCCCAACAAGUUGUCAUGUGCAUAUAUCAAGAAUACAGUUGUGAGCAAGAUUACGAAGUUAUGUUCUAGCAAGCGGUUCGAUGAAAAUAUUCAUCAAUUGUGAAUCAAAUCUUUUCAAGAGUAGUAUGAUAACCGAUUUUCAAAAAAAAUGUAUUGCUCUUGAUUGCUCUUCAUUAUUUCAUCAGCUACUACAUGCUGCAAAUUAAUUACUUCUGUAGAUAUGCAAAUGAUGGAUACCGAAUUAAGAGGUUGGAUGCCCAUCUAAUCAACUAACUCUUUAAUUAAGAAUGAUACUGGCGUGUGUUAUGGGCUCGUUUGCAUGCCUAACCAAAGUGCGAGGUGAGCAUUGCCGCAGUGGGCACAUCAAAGAUGAAUCUCAUAUCGAGGCAGCCUGCCAGCCUCCAUUAGUUAAUUGUCUAGUCCUCAUCCAUUUAUAUUAAAUUCGGAUUACCGUUAGAAGUUAGGAACAUGAAGCCCUCGUAAUCUGAGUAUUAUUGAAUUUUUAAAUAUUUUUUAUUAUGUAUCUUUUAAUGAUAGUAUAUGGAUAAAAUUUAAUUUUUUUUAUUUUUUUAUUUAUUAACAACCAAUCAGCAAUUAUAUUAUUUGGUCAGGACAUGAUCAGAUCAGAAGAGAAUCUUAAUCCUAGAAGUUAACCAGGAAACUCCAUGUUUCAACUAGUGAGAUCCCUCGGGAUAUUAUUAUAUUACUGCAGAAAUGCCUGUGUUUGGAAGUCAAUUAAAAAAUAAUUAAAACGGAAAUUUCAGUCAUACACCAUCAAUAAUAACCCAGCAAAGACUACUUAACUGACCAGUCUGAAAUUCCUGGGGCCAUUUUGUAUUUUUGGGCCAUAACCGAAGCCCAGCCCAAUCGACUAUACCAAGAACAUUAAUUUUAUUUAUAUAAUUAAGAGGACAAUUUUAUUUAAAACGCUGGAUUUGUUUUAAAAAAUUAAGAUUACCUGGGUGUUAAAUCACUUCAUAUAUAUAUAUGAAAUAAUUUUUCAAUCAAGAAUUUCUGACUAUAUUUAAAGUCAUAAAUGAGAUAAAAGACAGAAAAAAUACAUAUUCUAAUAUAAUAUAUUUUGCACUGUAAUAUAUUGAAAUUCUUUUUUUUUUUCUUUUAACUUAUGCCUGACUUAAAUAUGAUCAAGAAUUAUUGAUUGAAUCCUCACUUUGUAUAUAUACAUAUAUAGGUAGGGCUUCUAAUUUGCUCUAUAUAUUGUGGAGAAAAAAAUAUUUACAAUUAUCUAUUCAACCUAGUUUAGACUUUGAGAUAUGAGUUGUGUUAUAACAUUAUCAAUAAUAUUAUUGAUCCUUAUUUCAAGUUUAGUAAAAGAGUAAUACUAUUAUUUCAUGUUUAGUAAGAGAGUAACACUAUAUUUACAUAGUUUGCAUACAAACAAGUGCCAGGCAAAAAACAAAAUUUGGGACACUACUUAAACACUUUCGCAUCCCAGAAUUUAUUUUCAAUUCAUCUCCAAAUCACCCCUGAUUAAUUAAUGUCCUUUAUUAACUUUUUUUAUUAUCAAAUUUUUUAAAAUUAUAUUCUAAUCAUUCUUCGUAAAAUAAUAUUUUGAAAAUAUUUUUAAAUUAUUGUAAAUCUUAAUUUACCUCUCUUUUUUUCACUUUUAAAAAUAAAUUAAAAGUUUCAUUCUAAGUAGGGAUUAUAAUUAGUUCUGAUAUGGCAUGAUUGUGAUUAAAUUGAAAAAAAAAGUUCAAUUCUCAGACUAUAUUUCUAUUUAUACCUCAGGUCCCAACAGUGCCAGCCUCCUCACAAGUCACAAAAUCAGUUUGUGGAAUCUAUUGAAACAUACCGCAUUUAGUAAAAUAAGGUUUUCGGAUCUAUUGGACGUUUGUAGUGUAGCGGCCAGUUGUUAUCCAACGAGAUCAUGCUAAGGUACCCACUUGCAGCAAACAACAGGCUUAGACUGGGCUUUUUUAAUCUCAAAUUCAGGCCCACUGUCAGUUAAACAUGUGGGUUAGGCCGGGCUCGGGCCGGAUUUAAACUUUAUUUAUUUAUUUUAAAAAUU
rnacentral:lncRNA from 1 species